rnacentral:rRNA from 1 species
UACGGAGGGAGCUAGCGUUGUUCGGAAUUACUGGGCGUAAAGCGCACGUAGGCGGCUUUGUAAGUCAGAGGUGAAAGCCUGGAGCUCAACUCCAGAACUGCCUUUGAGACUGCAUCGCUUGAAUCCAGGAGAGGUGAGUGGAAUUCCGAGUGUAGAGGUGAAAUUCGUAGAUAUUCGGAAGAACACCAGUGGCGAAGGCGGCUCACUGGACUGGUAUUGACGCUGAGGUGCGAAAGCGUGGGGAGCAAACAGGG